rnacentral:rRNA from 1 species
GAACCUUACCUGGGCUCGAACGGCUGGUCAACGGCGGUGGAAACAUCGCUACCCCGCAAGGGGGUCCAGUCGAGGUGCUGCAUGGCUGUCGUCAGCUCGUGUCGUGAGAUGUUGGGUUAAGUCCCGCAACGAGCGCAACCCUUGUCCUGUGUUGCCAUGCCGAAAGGCGGAACUCGCAGGAGACCGCCAGCGAUAAGCUGGAGGAAGGUGGGGAUGACGUCAAGUCCUCAUGGCCUUUAUGUCCAGGGCUACACACGUGCUACAAUUGACGGUACAAAGCGCUGCUAACUCGCGAGAGGGAGCCAAUCGCAAAAAACCGUUCUCAGUUCGGAUUGCAGGCUGCAACUCGCCUGCAUGAAGCUGGAAUCGCUAGUAAUGGCAGAUCAGCACGCUGCCGUGAAUACGUUCCCGGGCCUUGUCACACCGA